CCUACGGGUGGCAGCAGUGGGGGAUAUUGCACAAUGGGGGGAACCCUGAUGCAGCGACGCCGCGUGGGUGAAGAAGCGCCUCGGCGCGUAAAGCUCUGUCAGUAGGGAAGAAAAUGACGGUACCUGAAGAAUAAGCCCCGGCUAAAUAUGUGCCAGCUGCCGCGGUAAUACGUAGGGGGCAAGCGUUAUCCGGAUUUACUGGGUGUAAAGGGGGCGCAGACGGCGAUGAAAGCCAGGUGUGAAAGCCCGGGGCUCAACCACGGGACUGCACUUGGAACUGGGUGGCUGGAGUGCAGGAGGGGCAGGCGGAAUUCGGGGUGUAGCGGUGAAAUGCGUAGAUAUCAGGAGGAACACCGGUGGCGAAGGCGGCCUGCUGGACUGCAACUGACGUUGAGGCCCGAAAGCGUGGGGAGCAAACAGGAUUAGAUACCCCUGUAGUC
rnacentral:rRNA from 1 species